GACGUAGGGCGCAAGCGUUGUCCGGAUUUAUUGGGCGUAAAGAGCUCGUAGGCGGCCUGUCGCGUCGACCGUGAAAACCCGCAGCUCAACUGCGGGCUUGCGGUCGAUACGGGCAGGCUCGAGUUCGGCAGGGGAGACUGGAAUUCCUGGUGUAGCGGUGAAAUGCGCAGAUAUCAGGAGGAACACCGGUGGCGAAGGCGGGUCUCUGGGCCGAUACUGACGCUGAGGAGCGAAAGCGUGGGGAGCAAACAGG
rnacentral:rRNA from 1 species